rnacentral:ribozyme from 1 species
CACCAGACUUGGGUUAGCGAGUGGUCACGG